rnacentral:rRNA from 1 species
UCAGGACGAACGCUGGCGGCGUGCUUAACACAUGCAAGUCGAACGAAGCAGCAGUGAAGGAGGCUUCGGCCAAUGGAUCUGUUGACUAGUGGCGGACGGGUGAGUAACGCGUGAGCAACCUGCCUUCAGAGGGGGAUAACGUUUGGAAACGAACGCUAAUACCGCAUGACAUAGCAGUAUCGCAUGGUACAGCUAUCAAAGGAGCAAUCCGCUGAGAGAUGGGCUCGCGUCCGAUUAGAUAGUUGGUGGGGUAACGGCCUACCAAGUCGACGAUCGGUAGCCGGACUGAGAGGUUGAACGGCCACAUUGGGACUGAGACACGGCCCAGACUCCUACGGGAGGCAGCAGUGGGGAAUAUUGCACAAUGGGCGCAAGCCUGAUGCAGCAACGCCGCGUGAGGGAAGACGGUUUUCGGAUUGUAAACCUCUGUCCUUGGUGAAGAUAAUGACGGUAGCCGAGGAGGAAGCCACGGCUAACUACGUGCCAGCAGCUGC